CGCCCCCAGCCCAACGCCCCGCGCCGCUGGGCGCGUGGGAGAGAUGCUGCCUGCCAGGCGCGCCCGGGGUAGACAAGCUAGGGUCCCAUGGACAGGGAGCGCAGAGCAGGUAUCACCCCAUCAUGUCGCCAGCAUCCAUUGCUCCUUGCAGACCUCCUCUCCUGUGGGCAGGGAACACCAGGAGGACAACCCUUCGAACCUGAAGUACCCAUACCCACCCUUCCUGAGCCGCCCUGCCUGCCUAGGCUGUCCGGGCUGGUCAACGUCAGCUGCUCCUGGUUCUUCCAAGUACAGAAGCUAGAAAUUCAGACCCAGCAGUGACCUCAGCUCACCACCUCUCCAGGCCGUUUCGCAGCUUGCCUGUCGCCAGGAGGCUCUUGUUUUCCGGACCUGCGUUCUUGCACAACUCGAUAAAGCAGGAAGCGGAGCUGGAGAGAGCCUAGCUAGCCUCUGCCAGGUGCCUGAUCCUAGAAGGGUGGCGCUGUGGAGACCGGGAACAUCACACUGUGAGCCAUGGUGAUGUGAAAAGGCCUCCGAGUGUCUGCAUAGUAUAGAAGGGCCUUCUGGGCAGUUGAACUUGCUGAGCUUAAACUUUUAUUUUGUGAUUGUAAAGGGAGGCAAAUCAUUAAACAACUACUAAAGGAAGACAACAACCAUCAACGUGCUACCUGGUACCUGGUUAGUGCAUGUAGCAAACGCUUGUUCCCUUGCUGGACUGUGACCUUUCCCGCCAACGCGGUUCAUAGCAGCAAUGUGAGCUGUGGGAAGGCCAGGCUUCUUAAAGACUCUUAAGCCCACUCAACUAACUACUGAAUGAGUUCAAAGAGAUAUUUGUUCCGCAUCAACUGUCCACAAAGUCGAUGAAUGUGCUCUGUAGUUAAGUACUUCUCUGUAAUAAAAUCAAGCAGACAACCACUUGUCUGAACACAGGGAAGACACUCCUCUUUGUCUCGGUGGAAGACCUUUGAGUAAGCUACUCAAAGAACUGCUGGACUAGAGCUCCCGACUAGAAACGUGAAGGGCAUUUUCUAAGCAACUUUCAGAGAGGAAAUAGGUCUGUACUAGGGCAUUUGCUGCCCGAGUAAGGAGCACACAGCAUCCCCCAAGGCUGUGAACGAGCCCUUAAGUUCAGGACUGGCAAUGCCACUGAGAAGUAUCACGCCAGGCAGGGCCUGGUGGGGGUGGGAGGGGAGGGGAGGGGUGGAGGAAGUUGAUCAGAAAGAAGUUGGACUGGCUCAAGUCCUGUCCAAUCUAUUGUAAUUUCACACAUAGCCAUGAUUGUAAGCCCAUGGGUGGGAAUAGGGACUUGCCAUCUUUUUUUUUUUUUAAGAUCUUUAAUUUUAUUUAUUAUGUAUACACUGUUCUGCCUGCAUGUCAGAAGAGGGCACUAGAUCUCAUUACAGAUGGUUGUGAGCCACCGUGUGGCUGCUGGGAAUUUAACUCAGGACCGCUGGGAAAUCAGCCAGUGCUCCUAACCUCUGAGCCAUCUCUCCAGCCCUGGACUUGCCAUCUUAAGUCUUCUUUGACCCAUGGUAUACCUAGAAAAGUUAGGCUUAAUUAUUAAACAUUUAGGGAUUUUUAUUAUGUAAAUGCAUUUAUAAGUUCAUAAAUAUAUUUAUUAUAUAAGUAAAGCAUAAUUCUACUGUGCCCUAGC
rnacentral:lncRNA from 1 species